rnacentral:other from 1 species
AUGCAGGUUUCCACAACUGACACAAACCGUGCAACUUGAAACCCCGCCUGGUCUUUCCAGGUCUAGAGGGGCGACAUUUUGUACUGUGCUUGACUCCACGCUCGGUCCACUAGCGAGUGUUAGUAGUAGCACUGUUGCUUCGUAGCGGAGCAUGAUGGCCGUGGGAGCUCCCCCUUGGUAACAAGGACCCACGGGGCCAAAAGCCACGUCCUACCGGACCCAUCAUGUGUGCAAACCCAGCACGGCAACUUUACUGCGAAAACCACUUUAAGGUGACACUGAUACUGGUACUCAAUCACUGGUGACAGGCUAAGGAUGCCCUUCAGGUACCCCGAGGUAACACGCGACACUCGGGAUCUGAGAAGGGGACUGGGGCUUCUUUAAAAGUGCCCAGUUUAAAAAGCUUCUAUGCCUGAAUAGGCGACCGGAGGCCGGCGCCUUUUCACUGUUUUACUACUGUUUU